GAUGAACGCUGGCGGCGUGCCUAAUACAUGCAAGUCGAGCGAACAGACGAGGAGCUUGCUCCUCUGACGUUAGCGGCGGACGGGUGAGUAACACGUGGAUAACCUACCUAUAAGACUGGGAUAACUUCGGGAAACCGGAGCUAAUACCGGAUAAUAUAUUGAACCGCAUGGUUCAAUAGUGAAAGACGGUGUUUCUGUCACUUAUAGAUGGAUCCGCGCCGCAUUGGCUAGUUGGUAAGGUAACGGCUUACCAAGGCAACGAUGCGUAGCCGACCUGAGAGGGUGAUCGGCCACACUGGAACUGAGACACGGUCCAGACUCCUACGGGAGGCAGCAGUAGGGAAUCUUACGCAAUGGGCGAAAGCCUGACGGAGCAACGCCGCGUGAGUGAUGAAGGUCUUCGGAUCGUAAAACUCUGUUAUUAGGGAAGAACAAAUGUGUAAGUAACUAUGCACGUCUUGACGGUACCUAGUCAGAAAGCCACGGCUAACUACGUG
rnacentral:rRNA from 1 species